UUGGUAACCUUGCUAGCACAUGGUUGGAUCUAAUUUUUCUUUCUAUUGAAAUUACUUAUUUGAUAAGAUAAUUCUAACUUAAUUAUCUGCUAAUAACCUACAUAAAUAUGAUUCAUGAGACUCUAAUUAUUGGGUGUCGAAGGUUAUGGAUCAUAUAAAUUAAAGGUGCAAGUCCCUUAUGAAUCUCCUUGAUAGUUAUUAUGGAGCGCC
rnacentral:lncRNA from 1 species